UACAGAGGGUGCAAGCGUUAAUCGGAGUUACUGGGCGUAAAGGGCGCGUAGGCGGUUAUUUAAGUCAGAUGUGAAAUCCCCGGGCUUAACCUGGGAACUGCAUUGGUGACUGCAUUGCUCGAGUAUGGCAGAGGGGGGUGGAAUUCCACGUGUAGCAGUGAAAUGCGUAGAGAUGUGGAGGAACACCGAUGGCGAAGGCAGCCCCCUGGGCCAAUACUGACGCUCAUGCACGAAAGCGUGGGGAGCAAACAGG
rnacentral:rRNA from 1 species